GACGAACGCUGGCGGCGUGCUUAACACAUGCAAGUCGAACGCUGAAGCUUGGUGCUUGCACUGGGUGGAUGAGUGGCGAACGGGUGAGUAAUACGUGAGUAACCUGCCCUUGACUCUGGGAUAAGCCUGGGAAACUGGGUCUAAUACUGGAUAUGACAUGCCACUGCAUGGUGGUGUGUGGAAAGGGUUUUACUGGUUUUGGAUGGGCUCACGGGCUAUCAGCUUGUUGGUGGGGUAAUGGCCUACCAAGGCGACGACGGGUAGCCGGCCCGAGAGGGGGGACCGGCCACACGGGAAAGGAGAACGGGCCGAAACCCUAACGGGGGGCAGCAGAGGGGAGAAUGCCAGAAUGGGCGAAGUCCGGUGCAGGCAACCCCCGGUAGGGGAGGACGGCUUUCGGUUGGAAACCCUCUUCAGGCACGGAGGAGGCGGGGUGAACGUACCUUAAGAAGAAGCGCCGGCUAACUACGUG
rnacentral:rRNA from 1 species